rnacentral:rRNA from 1 species
UACGUAGGGGCCAAACGUUGUCCGGAUUUAUUGGGCGUAAAGGGCUCGUAGGCGGUUCAACAAGUCGGUCGUGAAAGCCCGGGGCUCAACUCCGGGACGCCGGUCGAUACUGUUGUGACUAGAGUUCGGUAGAGGUGAGUGGAAUUCUCAGUGUAGCGGUGGAAUGCGCAGAUAUUGAGAGGAACACCAUUAGCGAAGGCGGCUCACUGGGCCGAUACUGACGCUGAGGAGCGAAAGCGUGGGGAGCAAACAGGAUUAGAUACCCCCGUA